rnacentral:rRNA from 1 species
AUGGUUGUCGUCAGCUCGUGUCGUGAGAUGUUGGGUUAAGUCCCGCAACGAGCGCAACCCCUACGUUUAGUUGCUAACGCGUGAAGGCGAGCACUCUAGACGAACUGCCGUUGACAAAACGGAGGAAGUGGGGAUGACGUCAAAUCAUCAUGCCCCUUAUGUUCUGGGCUACACACGUGCUACAAUGGCCGGUACAGACGGACGCAAAGCCGCGAGGUGGAGCAAAUCCUAAAAAGCCGGUCUCAGUUCGGAUUGCAGGCUGCAAUUCGCCUGCAUGAAGUCGGAAUCGCUAGUAAUCGCAGGUCAGCAUACUGCGGUGAAUACGUUCCCGGGCCUU